CACCGCGGUUAUACGAGAGGCCCAAGUUAAUAGACCACCGGCGUAAAGCGUGGUUAGAGAGAUUUUAAAUUAAAGUUAAAUGUUCGCAAAACUGUUAUACGCGAUCGAGAACUAGAAAACCCCCUACGAAAGUGACUUUAAACUGUUGAACCCACGAAAGCUAGGACA
rnacentral:rRNA from 1 species